GAGUGUUUAAAGCAGGCUCACGCUUGAAUACAUUAGCAUGGAAUAAUGAAAUAGGACAUCCGAUUCUAUUUUGUUGGUUUCUAGGAUCGAUGUAAUGAUUGAUAGGGAUAUUGGGGGCAUUAGUAUUCAAUCGUCAGAGGUGAAAUUCUUGGAUUGAUUGAAGACUAACUACUGCGAAAGCAUUUGCCAAGGAUGUUUUCAUUAAUCAGUGAACGAAAGUUAGGGGAUCGAAGACGAUCAGAUACCGUCGUAGUCUUAACCAUAAACUAUGCCGACUAGGGAUCGGACGAUGUUAUUUAUUGACUCGUUCGGCGCCUUACGGGAAAC
rnacentral:rRNA from 2 species